GGCCAGUUAGCUUGGUCAGUUGAGCAUAGCGCUGGCAACGCUAAGGUCGCAAGUUCAAUUCCUGUUCCGUCCC
rnacentral:tRNA from 1 species